GCCAGCGUCUCGACGGGAUUGAGGCGGAUUGAAAAUCCGCGUGUCACUGGUUCGAUUCCGGUCCCGGGCACCA
rnacentral:tRNA from 1 species